CUGAUGCUUCCCGCUGCCAGUGACAUCAGCCGGCUGAGCCGUGCAAUAGAGAGCGGCAUCAUCCCUCACAGAACGGGGGAGGAGCAGGAGGGGACAACAGGGAGGAGACUUGCCUCCCAGGGAAAGACAGCACAACAGCUACUUGGAAUAGUCCCGGUACAGUGCCGGCAACUCUGUAAAAGGAGAUAAUGAAACUCACACUGGGAAAUGAGCAGAGGAAAGUCAGAAAUAGAUAAAACUGGAGGCCACAAAUUCAGUAUCCCCAGCUUUCCAGUGAUUCCUAUUCUGUGAGCUUUGUAUCAACAGCCUUCCAACAUAUCCCACAUUUUACUAAAGGAAAAAAAAGAGCAGAAAACUUGUUUUUGAAGUCCAAGAGGAACUAGGCAACGUACAACUAUCACCAUAUUCCUCAAAACAACCCCAUGGAGAAGACAGGCAUU